AUGAACGCUGGCGGCGUGCCUAAUACAUGCAAGUAGAACGCUGAAGGAAGGAGCUUGCUCUUUCCGGAUGAGUUGCGAACGGGUGAGUAACGCGUAGGUAACCUGCCUGGUAGCGGGGGAUAACUAUUGGAAACGAUAGCUAAUACCGCAUAACAGUAGAUGUUGCAUGAUAUCUACUUAAAAGGUGCAAUUGCACCACUACCAGAUGGACCUGCGUUGUAUUAGCUAGUUGGUGAGGUAACGGCUCACCAAGGCGACGAUACAUAGCCGACCUGAGAGGGUGCUCGGCCACACUGGGACUGAGACACGGCCCAGACUCCUACGGGAGGCAGCAGUAGGGAAUCUUCGGCAAUGGACGGAAGUCUGACCGAGCAACGCCGCGUGAGUGAAGAAGGUUUUCGGAUCGUAAAGCUCUGUUGUAAGAGAAGAACGAGUGUGAGAGUGGAAAGUUCACACUGUGACGAUAUCUUACCAGAAAGGGACGGCUAACUACGUG
rnacentral:rRNA from 1 species